UACGUAGGGGGCAAGCGUUGUCCGGAAUCAUUGGGCGUAAAGAGCGUGUAGGCGGCCCGAUAAGUCCGCCGUGAAAGUCCAGGGCUCAACCCUGGAAUGCCGGUGGAAACUGUCGGGCUGGAGUCCGGAAGAGGCGAGUGGAAUUCCUGGUGUAGCGGUGAAAUGCGCAGAUAUCAGGAGGAACACCUAUGGCGAAGGCAGCUCGCUGGGACGGUACUGACGCUGAGACGCGAAAGCGUGGGGAGCGAACAGG
rnacentral:rRNA from 1 species